AGUGAACGCUGGCGGCGUGCCUAAUACAUGCAAGUCGAACGGCGUGGCGCACGGGUGAGUAAUAUAUAGCUAAUCUGCCCCUUGCUGGAGGACAACCGUUAGAAAUGACUGCUAAUACUCCAUAGCAAGGGAUGAGACUAUAUCGUAUCAGCUAGUCGGUGGGGUAACGGCCUACCGAGGCUAUGACGCGUAACUGGUCUGAGAGGAUGAUCCGUAACAUUGGAACGGAGACAAGGUCCAAACGCCUACGGGAGGCAGAAGUAGGGAAUAUGGCGCAAUGGGGGAAACCCUGACGCAGCAACGCCGCGUGGGGGAUGAAGGCUUUCGGGUUGUAAACCUCGCCUAUCGAACAAGGGGUAGGUGGAGAAGAAGCGCCGGCUAACUACGUGCCAGCAGCCGCGGUAAUAC
rnacentral:rRNA from 1 species